rnacentral:tRNA from 1 species
GAGUCGGUGUUUUAGUGGUAGAAUGCUCGCCUGCCAGGCGGGUUGCCCCGUUUCGAUUCCCGGCUGGCUCA